rnacentral:rRNA from 1 species
AGUGAACGCUGGCGGUAGGCCUAACACAUGCAAGUCGAACGGCAGCACAGUAAGAGCUUGCUCUUACGGGUGGCGAGUCGCGGACGUGUGAGGAAUACAUCGGAAUCUCCUUUUUCGUGGGGGAUAACGCAGGGUAACUUACGCUAAUAUCGCAUACGACCUACGGCUGAAAGCAGGGGAUCUUCUGACCUUGCGCGAUUGAAUGAGCCGAUGUCGGAUUAGUUAGUCGGCGGGGUAAAGACCCACCAAGUCGACGAUCCGUAGCUGGUCUGAGAGGAUGCUCAGCCACACUGGAACUGAGACACGGUCCAGACUCCUACGGGAGGCAGCAGUGUGGAAUAUUGGACAGUGGGCGGAAGCCUGAUCCAGCCAUACCGCGUGAGUGAGGAAGGCCUUCGGUUUGUAAAGCCCUUUUGUUGGGAAAGAAAAGCAGCGGAUUAAUACCCCGCUGUUCUGACGGUACCCAAAGAAUAAGCACCGGCUAACUUCGUG